UUGUUACAUGAUGGGCCCAGUUAGAAUUGCACUGAAAGGGAAAGAGCAGAAAAUGGGGAGCAAAGAAGGUGCCCUCACCCUAAAACAAAAUUAUCUAGGGGAAGAGCUCCUUGAUUUAAUAGAGAUAGAUAGACAUAUUAAGAUCAAUAAAAAUAUAGUACAGAAAGUGAAUAAGACCCAAAAUGUUAGAAGUGUGGUAAACCAGGUGAACAGGACUAUUAAGAGAAAUUCAAACAACAUAACAGAAAUAAGUACGAUACACUACCAUGCAGGUGAACUAGGAACAAAUUAAGUGUUACCACAAAAAAAAGGAAAAUGUAGAGCAAUAACGGAAAGAAAGGGAGCAAGUAAGAUGUUACCCAGGAACAACUGAACAGAGCAACAAAGGAAAGAAAGGGAGCAAGUAAGAUGUUACCCUGGAAGAACUGAACAGAGCAACAAAGGGAAGAAAGGGAGUAUGUAAGAAGUUACCCUGGAAGAACUGAACAGAGCAACAAAGGAAAGAAAGGGAGCAAGUAAGAUGUUACCCAGGAACAACUGAACAGAGCAACAAAGGAAAGAAAGGGAGCAAGUAAGAUGUUACCCUGGAAGAACUGAACUGAGCAACAAAGGUAAGAAAGGGAGCAAGUAAGAUGUUACCCUGGAAGGACUGAACAGAGCAACAAAGGAAAGAAAGGGAGCAAGUAAGAUGUUACCCUGGAAGAACUGAACAGAGCAACAAAGGAAAGAAAGGGAGCAAGUAAGAUGUUACCCUGGAAGAACUGAACAGAGCAACAAAG